rnacentral:rRNA from 1 species
GAUGAACGCUGGCGGCGUGCCUAAUACAUGCAAGUCGAGCGAAUGGAUUAAGAGCUUGCUCUUAUGAAGUUAGCGGCGGACGGGUGAGUAACACGUGGGUAACCUGCCCAUAAGACUGGGAUAACUCCGGGAAACCGGGGCUAAUACCGGAUAACAUUUUGAACCGCAUGGUUCGAAAUUGAAAGGCGGCUUCGGCUGUCACUUAUGGAUGGACCCGCGUAGCAUUAGCUAGUUGGUGAGGUAACGGCCCACCAAGGCAACGAUGCGUAGACGACCUGAGAGGGUGAUCGGCCACACUGGGACUGAGACACGGCCCAGACUCCUACGGGAGGCAGCAGUAGGGAAUCUUCCGCAAUGGACGAAAAUCUGACGGAGCAACGCCGCGUGAGUGAUGAAGGCUUUCGGGUCGUAAAACUCUGUUGUUAGGGAAGAACAAGUGCUAGUUGAAUAAGCUGGCACCUUGACGGUACCUAACCAGAAAGCCACGGCUAACUACGUGCCAGCAGCCGCCGUAA